rnacentral:rRNA from 1 species
GUGGGGAAUCUUGCGCAAUGGGCGAAAGCCUGACGCAGCCAUGCCGCGUGAAUGAUGAAGGUCUUAGGAUUGGAAAAUUCUUUCACCGGGGACGAUAAUGACGGUACCCGGAGAAGAAGCCCCGGCUAACUUCGUGCCAGCAGCCGCGGUAAUACGAAGGGGGCUAGCGUUGCUCGGAAUUACUGGGCGUAAAGGGCGCGUAGGCGGACAGUUUAGUCAGAGGUGAAAGCCCAGGGCUCAACCUUGGAAUUGCCUUUGAUACUGGCUGUCUUGAGUACGGGAGAGGUGAGUGGAACUCCGAGUGUAGAGGUGAAAUUCGUAGAUAUUCGGAAGAACACCAGUGGCGAAGGCGACUCACUGGCCCGUUACUGACGCUGAGGCGCGAAAGCGUGGGGAGCAAACAGGAUUAGAUACCCUGGUAGUCC